GAAAGUGUAGUAAACUUGUCGUGAGGAAACAACCAACCAAACAUAGAUCAAACGUUGUCUUCUGUGUUUAUAAUCCCUCGUAUAAUUGCCAAGCCUCCCCUUCACCAUCUGAAAUAUUCAAUCUCGCCAAUUCAUUCUCCAUUAUGAGAUCCAUGUAAUAACCUCACCAUUACCAGAAACUUUUGGAAGACUCACAGAAAAAACCCCAG
rnacentral:lncRNA from 1 species